CCUACGGGUGGCAGCAGUGGGGAAUAUUGCACAAUGGGGGAAACCCUGAUGCAGCGACGCCGCGUGAGUGAAGAAGUAUUUCGGUAUGUAAAGCUCUAUCAGCAGGGAAGAAGAAAGACGGUACCUGACUAAGAAGCCCCGGCUAACUACGUGCCAGCAGCCGCGGUAAUACGUAGGGGGCAAGCGUUAUCCGGAUUUACUGGGUGUAAAGGGAGCGUAGACGGCUGUGCAAGUCUGAUGUGAAAGCCCAGGGCUCAACCCUGAGAAUGCUUUGGAAACUGUGGAGCUAGAGUGCUGGAGGGGUAAGUGGAAUGCCUAGUGUAGCGGUGAAAUGCGUAGAUAUUAGGAGGAACACCGGCGGCGAAGGCGGCCUGCUGGACUGAAACUGACGUUGAGGCUCGAGAGCGUGGGGAGCAAACAGGAUUAGAUACCCUGGUAGUC
rnacentral:rRNA from 1 species